rnacentral:rRNA from 1 species
AAUGAACGCUGGCGGCGCGCCUAAUACAUGCAAGUCGAGCGAGAAGACGUAGCAAUACGUUUGUAAAGCGGCGAACGGGUGAGGAAUACAUGGGUAACCUACCCUCGAGUGGGGAAUAACUAGCCGAAAGGUUAGCUAAUACCGCGUACGCUCCUUGGACUUCGGUUCAGGGAGGAAAGCGAUACCGUGGGUAUCGCGCUCUUGGUUGGGCUCAUGUCCUAUCAGCUUGUUGGGAGGUAACGGCUCACCAAGGCUUCGACGGGUAGCUGGUCUGAGAGGACGAUCAGCCACACUGGCACUGCGACACGGGCCAGACUCCUACGGGAGGCAGCAGUAAGGAAUAUUGCG